CACUAACCUUUUAAGUUAGAGAUUGAGAGCCAUAUACUCUCCUUGGUGA
rnacentral:tRNA from 1 species